rnacentral:rRNA from 1 species
GGAUGCGAUCAUACCAGCACUAAAGCACCGGAUCCCUUCAGAACUCCGAAGUUAAGCGUGCUUGGGCGAGAGUAGUACUAGGAUGGGUGACCUCCUAGGAAGUCCUCGUGUUGCAUUCC